AGCAGUAUGGUGUAAUGCUGCAUGCGGGGUUCGGCUACGUCUUUUACUUGUACAAGUUAUCUCCGAGGUCCUUGUUCGAAUCAAGGUACUGCUC